rnacentral:rRNA from 1 species
ACAGCAGUAGCCGCGGUAAUACGGAGGGGGCUAGCGUUGUUCGGAAUUACUGGGCGUAAAGCGCACGUAGGCGGCUUGGUAAGUUAGAGGUGAAAGCCCGGAGCUCGACUCCGGAAUUGCCUUUAAGACUGCCGAGCUAGUAGGUGAGAGAGGUAAGUGGAAUUCCGAGUGUAGAGGUGAAAUUCGUAGAUAUUCGGAAGAACACCAGUGGCGAAGGCGGCUUACUGGCUCAUUCUAGACGCUGAGGUGCGAAAGCGCGGGGAGCAAACAGGAUUAGAUACCCGUGUAGUCCCUGUCUCUUAUAC